UGGGGAAUAUUGGACAAUGGAGGCAACUCUGAUCCAGCCAUGCCGCGUGCAGGAAGACUGCCCUAUGGGUUGUAAACUGCUUUUAUACAGGAAGAAACCCAUCUACGUGUAGGUGGCUGACGGUACUGUAAGAAUAAGGAUCGGCUAACUCCGUGCCAGCAGCCGCGGUAAUACGGAGGAUCCAAGCGUUAUCCGGAAUCAUUGGGUUUAAAGGGUCCGUAGGUUGAUAAUUAAGUCAGAGGUGAAAGUUUGCGGCUCAACCGUAAAAUUGCCUUUGAUACUGGUUGUCUUGAAUCAUUGUGAAGUGGUUAGAAUAUGUAGUGUAGCGGUGAAAUGCAUAGAUAUUACAUAGAAUACCAAUUGCGAAGGCAGAUCACUAACAAUGUAUUGACACUGAUGGACGAAAGCGUGGGGAGCGAACGGGAUUAGAUACCCGUGUAGUCC
rnacentral:rRNA from 1 species